CCAGCGUCCUCUCAAGCCCUGGAUCCCAGUCUCUAUCUCUGCUAAUGUGGGCAUCCAGGUGGUGUUCUACAGUGUGGGCUGUAGAAUUCCUAAUUCCUCCCACACCUUCCUGAUGAAUGUUCCAGAUGUUGCCAGUUACUGCCAGAUGUAUUCUAUAAAUGCCCAGAAGGGCUUCGAGGACUUUGCUUUGAUGGUGGCCGAUACAUCAGAGACUGGUGCCAUCAUCCUAGACAAUCAGCCUCUAAGGGAUGUGGUGUGGAACCGUGUCCCUGGCACUGAGUUCGUUUGGGGCAUGCGUACACUUGGACCUGCCAUCAGGUCCCAUGCUGUGGAACAUCCCAGCUCUCCAUUUGCACUCCUGAGUGUUGGCAAUGCCGCCAUGGACAGCUAUGGGAUUCCGGGUUCCUGCAGGAAGAAUGUUACCUUUAAAUGCCAGACUGAGACUCUACAGAUAAAAGAGCAGUUGGAGAGGUGCAAAAAUGUCUUUCUGCAGGGCAACAACAGUGAAUUUUGCUCCUUCAUGAAUUCAACCUUGGUGAAUUUGGAGACCAUGUGUGCACAGG
rnacentral:lncRNA from 1 species